GCAGGGCAGCGCAGGGGCCGCCCUCGCCAUUGUGUGCGGGGCUCGGGCAGGGGGCGCGGGGGGUGACUCAGCAGCCGGGGCCGGCCGGGGACCUCCGCCCGCCCGGGGCCGCUUCCCCGGGGGGCUCCGCGCUCCCCUCCCGGCCCCGCCGCGGCGCGCACAAAAGUUGGCAGCGCCCCGGGCCCCGCUCCCCGCCCCGCCGGGCAGCCCCGGGCCGCCGCACGGAGGGGGCAGGAGCCCGGCCGGCAGCGGGGCAGCCCCGCUCCGGGCCCCGGCGGGGCGAGCCCGGCGGGCAGGCGGGGGCCGGCGCUUUGCUGAGUGCGCCACACCGCCGCGGCCUGCGGCCCCGGGCCCGCUCCGCCCCGGGCCGGGCGGGGAAACGCGGCUGGGGGCCGGGCUUCGCUUCCCUUCCUUCCCUUGCUUUCCCUUCCCGUCCCUCGGGGCUCAGGCCCUUCAGAAGUUUAAUUCUCCGCGCACGGUCAGGGCGCCCUCGCUCCCCUGCCCGGCAGCCGCCUUCCCGUGACGGUGGCGGUGAAACUCGUGAGGGGGCCAGGAGCAGCCCCCAGGCUGAGGGACCCCCGUGUGUGCUUUGCCUUGGGCCGUGGCUCUGUUUUUUUCUCAAACUUUCCUAUAAGGAGUCGGGGGGGGGGGGAGAGUAAAAUGUUCAGUGUUGUUUGCUGUGGUAAAAUCCUCUGUUUUUAAAAGUUACUGGUUAGGGCCUAAAUUUGCCAGAGGAUUUGGCUGGUGUGGUAUCUGUGACUCAUGGACAGGAAAGCGCUGGAGGUUUGCUUUUACUGGACUACCUCUGCGUACAGGUGAACUUAGAUGCAUCAUCUCUGUUCAGCUUAAAACUAUUGAAAAGUUCUGACUGGGUGAAAAUACAGUUAGUAUCUUUGGGUUGCAUAAGCUCUCAAGGCUCCUUUUGUCUGUAAGAGAAUGAAAGUUUCAGACUGUGGGGGUGGAACCACGCAUGUAAGUCUAAAUACCUGAGUACUGAAAGGUGAAAACAUGCAUGCAAAGCAGGCAGAGCUCGUAAUCUUGGUAGGAGCCUGGCUUGCCAUACGGUAAUAAAUUGAAGGGGACGUGUUAAGGGAACCUUCUCAUGACAACUAGCUGUGAAACCUAGAAGUCAGUGCUGUGUUUGUAGGACAGGUGUUCGUGUUCGCUGACUCUGCUGCAAGACAUAAGAUGUUGUUACUGGUAAAAUGAGCAAGUUACUUUGGUGUUCUUGUUUUUAGGAACGGCAUAUCAGACAACAGAUUGAAUAAAUAAUAUUUAAAGAAAGUCACACAAUAGGGAGUGUUUCAUUACUGAGAAGUCUGGCUGUCUGCCCCCCCAGCAUGAUCUAUUUCAUAAAUAUCUUCUUUAAGAAUUAAAUGAAACACCUGAUGAUUGUACACCCUCAGCAGGCAGUUGAUUUCAAUGGGUUAUGUCUUCUUGUCAAGUGACAGCUAACAGGGAAGCCCAGCAGUAAGGCCUAAUGUUUUUGUGCCUUGGAUUUGUGCUGCUGUGUAUUUUUGCUUCUGUUUUGUCAUAAGUAUUUCUGAUGGUAAUUCUUGCUUAUUCUGCAUCGAGAUAUGCCCUCCUGCUUGUAGGCCUUUGGUUGAGGUGUGCCAGAGCAACCAGGAAACAGGCUUAGGUCACAGUUGGUAUUUUUAUGUGUCAUUGAGGAAACUGGUUCUGUAGUUGGCCACUGCAGUUGCUUGCCCUAGAAGUCCAGAGAUCUUUUGUGUGUCAUUAGAAUUGUGGCAUGCAUGCUUCCAAAAAGAACAGGAAAAGAGCUGUUUCAAACCUUAGAGCCAAGGCUGCUGCUUUGAAAAGAAGCUGUAUCCGAGAUACUUGAAACUUGUGCCUCACAGUUGUCUGUGAGCAGCUUGGUUCUUUCCAGUGUUGAUUAAUUUUUGGCUCUUUGAGGUACUGUAAGUGAGAAAGGUGUAAGUCUUGUUAACUGUGCUUCAUUUGGUGUGCAGAGCUUCUGGAGAGCUGAAUCAAGAGAGAGAGAAGGCAGAGGAAGGAGGAAACAUUCUCCUGGAGAG